rnacentral:rRNA from 1 species
UACAGAGGGGGCGAGCGUUAUUCGGAAUUAUUGGGCGUAAAGGGCGCGUAGGCGGCUUUUCAAGUGACGGGUGAAAUCCCUCGGUUUAACCGAGGAACUGCCUGUCAGACUGGAAGGCUUGAGACCGGGAGAGGUGAGUGGAAUUCCCAGUGUAGCGGUGAAAUGCGUAGAUAUUGGGAGGAACACCAGUGGCGAAGGCGGCUCACUGGACCGGAACUGACGCUGAGGCGCGAAAGCGUGGGGAGCAAACAGG